rnacentral:lncRNA from 1 species
GUAAAUGAAUAUGUUGAGAUUACGGGUUUGGCUAACCAAGUUAUUAUUGAGUAUGUUUGAAAGUGCAGGUGAUGAAUGUCGGACUUUCGAAGUGUUGAUAUAAUAAUGAAACGGUUGAAUGUUGAAAGGAUAAUCGGACUGAAGUAACUUAUGCGGUAAAUCCUCAAUUUUGGCGACUUGGAGAAUCGGAGCGAGCGCGUGUUCGUGUUAUGCGAUACCAAACGCUUCCGCUAGUUUGUUCAAAUGUUUUUGACCCAAAAUUUGUUGUAUUGGUUUUUAGUAGUAUCUUGUUGAACGAAUUGUAGAAUUGUAUCUAGUUUGUUUAUGUUUAAAACAGGGGUAUGCUCGUUUUAUGGACGGGUCAUGCCCGAUUUUUUGU